AUCGCUUCUCGGCGUUUUGGCUAAGAUCAAGUGUAGUAUUUGUUCACGUCAGCUUAACAUAUAUUAGCCUUAAAGCCUGUAACCUUGAUAUUAUUCAUUUAUUAGUUCCAAUUUUU
rnacentral:snRNA from 1 species